rnacentral:rRNA from 1 species
AUACGAAGGGGGCUAGCGUUGUUCGGAAUUACUGGGCGUAAAGCGCGCGUAGGCGGACCAUCAAGUCGGGGGUGAAAUCCUGGAGCUUAACUCCAGAACUGCCUUCGAUACUGUUGGUCUUGAGGUCGGGAGAGGUGAGUGGAACUGCGAGUGUAGAGGUGAAAUUCGUAGAUAUUCGCAAGAACACCAGUGGCGAAGGCGGCUCACUGGCCCGAAUCUGACGCUGAGGCGCGAAAGCGUGGGGAGCAAACAGGAUUAGAUACCCUGGUAGUCCACGCCGUAAACGAUGGAUGCUAGCUGUUGGCGGGUUUACUCGUCGGUGGCGCAGCUAACGCUUUAAGCAUCCCGCCUGGGGAGUACGGUCGCAAGAUUAAA